CAAUUGUAUUGAGUUAAUGUCAGUUUUAUGUCUGAUAGGUAGUUAUUUUAAGUAGGAGUAUCCUCGAGGAAAAUAAUUAAGAUUGAGAGAAAUAAAAAAAGUAGCAUAAUGCCGAGAGUGUGAUAAAUUAAUAUAGAUAAUUUCAGCUGCUUAUUUUGUUCAGUGCGAUUCAAGAACACCAUAAAGCUGUGAAUGUAAUGCAAAACUAUUUAGCUAUGUUUCGCUUUUUCGGUUAGAUAAAUCGCGUUGUAUUAUAAUUUUCUCUUUCAUGCUUUAUAAAAUCUUAUUCUUUGUCCUGUCGUAGUAUUUACAGAGCUGAUUCGUUUUCAUAGUUAAGUAAACUUAGGCCAUAAUCCAUAAACAAUGGACACUCAAUCAAAGUCUGUACAAAUGAAUGAUAUGGAGAAGAAUAACACGCCUGCUUCUCUGAAUGAUUGCGCACCUGAUUUAAAUUAUGAGAUGGAAAUGUGUCAUGAAGAAACUGGGAGCAAUGCUAAUUUGGCAAAAUCAAAAAAUUUGCAAAGCAACGAAGAAGUAUCUUUUUCUAGAGUGCCUGUUAUUGAAGGUCAAACAAACAGUGGCACUGUAACAGAAAUCAGCCAGACCCCUAAGAAGUCAGAAACUUGUAGGGCAUCAAUAACUACUCCUGCAAUGCCAACUUCCCAAUCAUUGAUUGCUGGGGAGGUGGCCCUCACACCAACCCAUAGCUCCUUUACUCCUCAAGCUGUAAAUCCACACAGUGCAAUGACUGCCAUCACUCCUAUGGUGAGUGGAACUGACCAAGCCAAGAACAGCAUUAAAGUUCAAAAUUGUGUAUCAACUAUACAUUUAGGUUGUGAAUUAAAAUUGUUGGAUAUUUACUGUAGAACUCGUUUUUCUGAAUACAAUCCUGCUAGAUUUCAUGGUGUUGUUAUGAAGAUAAUUGAUCCAAGAGCCACAGCUUUGGUAUUCAGAUCUGGAAAAGUACUUUGCACUGGGCUCAGGAAUGAACAUGAUUCUUAUAUAGCUGCAAGAAAAUUUGCAAGAAUAAUCCAAAAACUUGGAUAUCCAGCGAAAUUCUUGGAUUUUAAAAUACAAAAUUUUAUAGCAACAGCAGAUUUGAGGUUUCCAAUAAGAUUAGAAGCUCUACAACAAGCACACGGGCAGUUCGCAUCUUAUGAACCAGAAUUAUUUCCAGGACUAGUAUACCGAAUGGUGCGACCCAGAGUGGUUCUUUUAAUAUUUGUUAAUGGGAAGAUAGUUUUUACAGACCAUGGACGUCAUCAUCAUCUGUCUAGCCUUUUCCCAACUAUGUUGGGGUUGGCUUCCAGUCUAUGCAGUGAAUACUAAUGCUUUAAAAGGAGCAACUGCCUAUCUUACCUCCUCAAACCAGUUACCCAGAACAACCUGUACCCCUAGGUGGUAAGACUAGGGGAGAAAUAAAUGAAGCGCUUGACAUUAUAUACCCAAUUUUGAGAAGUUACAGGAUAAGCUAAAAAAUUUCAUGAAUUUAAUGUUAGACUGUAAUAAAGUUGUAUAAUAUA